rnacentral:rRNA from 1 species
CCUACGGGAGGCAGCAGUCAGGAAUAUUGUGCGAUGGACUCAAGCCUGAACCAGCCAAGUAGCGUGAAGGAUGACUGCCCUACGGGUUGUAAACUUCUUUUAUAAAGGAAUAAAGUGAGGCACGUGUACCUUUUUGUAUGUACUUUAUGAAUAAGGAUCGGCUAACUCCGUGCCAGCAGCCGCGGUAAUACGGAGGAUCCGAGCGUUAUCCGGAUUUAUUGGGUUUAAAGGGAGCGUAGAUGGGUUGUUAAGUCAGUUGUGAAAGUUUGCGGCUCAACCGUAAAAUUGCAAGUGAUACUGGCAGUCUUGAGUACAGUUGAGGUAGGCGGAAUGUGUGGUGUAGCGGUGAAAUGCUUAGAUAUCACGAAGAACUCCGAUUGCGAAGGCAGCUUACUAAACUGCAACUGACAUUGAUGCACGAAAGUGUGGGUAUCAAACAGGAUUAGAUACCCUGGUAGUC